GAUGAACGCUGGCGGCGUGCCUAAUACAUGCAAGUCGAGCGAACAGAUGAGGAGCUUGCUCCUCUGACGUUAGCGGCGGACGGGUGAGUAACACGUGGAUAACCUACCUAUAAGACUGGGAUAACUUCGGGAAACCGGAGCUAAUAUCGGAUAAUAUAUUGAACCGCAUGGUUCAAUAGUGAAAGACGGUUUUGCUGUCACUUAUAGAUGGAUCCGCGCCGCAUUAGCUAGUUGGUAAGGUAACGGCUUACCAAGGCAACGAUGCGUAGCCGACCUGAGAGGGUGAUCGGCCACACUGGAACUGAGACACGGUCCAGACUCCUACGGGAGGCAGCAGUAGGGAAUCUUCCGCAAUGGGCGAAAGCCUGACGGAGCAACGCCGCGUGAGUGAUGAAGGUCUUCGGAUCGUAAAACUCUGUUAUUAGGGAAGAACAAAUGUGUAAGUAACCAUGCACGUCUUGACGGUACCUAAUCAGAAAGCCACGGCUAACUACGUG
rnacentral:rRNA from 1 species